GGUUUGGGUAUCCUAGGGAGGUUUUCCAGGCAUCGCCUGCUGGGAUGAGGCCCUGGGGAAGACCCAGAACAAGGUGGAGAUUAAAUCUCCAUAUUGGCCCGGGAAUGCCUUAGGAACCCAGUCAGGUGAGAAUGCUUGAGAACGGUAUACCAUCAUCUCCCAAACUAUGGCAAUGGAACUGGACGCAAAGCAGCUGCAAUGAGUACAAGGCCCUGAUUGUUGGAGGGGAGCCUCAGCCAGUGAAACAGUGCCAUGGAGGGGGAGGGAGAAAAGGAUGAUGGAGGGACCACACAUGUCUUCAUGGACAGGGGAUCCCCCUCUAACUAGUGGACUUUACUGAGGCCUGUGGGAAUCAGCUGCCUGUGUAAAGUCUUCAACACGGGGUCCAUGACGGUGGUAGGACGCUCCGGAGGAAUCUCACACCAGGACCGAUUAGAAAGACCUACAUGCUAACAGCAUUGUCUUCCUCUCGCCGAUGGACCGAUCAGUGCGAUAAAGCUUCUUGUGAAAGCGGACGGGCUUGAAACAUCCUUCCCCCCAUGCGGCCUUGUGCUGACACGUAAAGCUGGCCUACCACAUAAUGAACCAAGCAGGAAAUAUCGCUUCAUCACUGCAAUAUCAUGCCAACAUUAGUUUACAGCUUGCAAGUAUUAUAUUAUAGUUGUAUAUUUGUGCAUUACAUCC
ensembl:lncRNA